CAGAGUAGCAGAAUUGCGUUAAGUGCCAUAUCACGGGAUGUUGGGUAUGGACGAACACUUUAAGUGGCGGUGGUUCUGCGCGUCCGCUGU
rnacentral:ncRNA from 1 species